UUAAGUUAUUAAGGGCGCACGGUGGAUGCCUUGGCACUAGAAGCCGAUGAAGGACGUUACUAACGACGAUAUGCUUUGGGGAGCUGUAAGUAAGCUUUGAUCCAGAGAUUUCCGAAUGGGGAAACCCAGCAUGAGUUAUGUCAUGUUAUCGAUAUGUGAAUACAUAGCAUAUCAGAAGGCACACCCGGAGAACUGAAACAUCUUAGUACCCGGAGGAAGAGAAAGAAAAUUCGAUUCCCUUAGUAGCGGCGAGCGAAACGGGAAGAGCCCAAACCAACAAGCUUGCUUGUUGGGGUUGUAGGACACUCUAUACGGAGUUACAAAGGACGACAUUAGACGAAUCAUCUGGAAAGAUGAAUCAAAGAAGGUAAUAAUCCUGUAGUCGAAAAUGUUGUCUCUCUUGAGUGGAUCCUGAGUACGACGGAGCACGUGAAAUUCCGUCGGAAUCUGGGAGGACCAUCUCCUAAGGCUAAAUACUCUCUAGUGACCGAUAGUGAACCAGUACCGUGAGGGAAAGGUGAAAAGCACCCCGGAAGGGGAGUGAAAUAGAACCUGAAACCGUGUGCUUACAAGUAGUCAGAGCCCGUUAAUGGGUGAUGGCGUGCCUUUUGUAGAAUGAACCGGCGAGUUACGAUUUGAUGCAAGGUUAAGCAGUAAAUGUGGAGCCGUAGCGAAAGCGAGUCUGAAUAGGGCGUUUAGUAUUUGGUCGUAGACCCGAAACCAGGUGAUCUACCCUUGGUCAGGUUGAAGUUCAGGUAACACUGAAUGGAGGACCGAACCGACUUACGUUGAAAAGUGAGCGGAUGAACUGAGGGUAGCGGAGAAAUUCCAAUCGAACCUGGAGAUAGCUGGUUCUCUCCGAAAUAGCUUUAGGGCUAGCCUCAAGUGAUGAUUAUUGGAGGUAGAGCACUGUUUGGACGAGGGGCCCCUCUCGGGUUACCGAAUUCAGACAAACUCCGAAUGCCAAUUAAUUUAACUUGGGAGUCAGAACAUGGGUGAUAAGGUCCGUGUUCGAAAGGGAAACAGCCCAGACCACCAGCUAAGGUCCCAAAAUAUAUGUUAAGUGGAAAAGGAUGUGGCGUUGCCCAGACAACUAGGAUGUUGGCUUAGAAGCAGCCAUCAUUUAAAGAGUGCGUAAUAGCUCACUAGUCGAGUGACACUGCGCCGAAAAUGUACCGGGGCUAAACAUAUUACCGAAGCUGUGGAUUGUCCUUUGGACAAUGGUAGGAGAGCGUUCUAAGGGCGUUGAAGCAUGAUCGUAAGGACAUGUGGAGCGCUUAGAAGUGAGAAUGCCGGUGUGAGUAGCGAAAGACGGGUGAGAAUCCCGUCCACCGAUUGACUAAGGUUUCCAGAGGAAGGCUCGUCCGCUCUGGGUUAGUCGGGUCCUAAGCUGAGGCCGACAGGCGUAGGCGAUGGAUAACAGGUUGAUAUUCCUGUACCACCUAUAAUCGUUUUAAUCGAUGGGGGGACGCAGUAGGAUAGGCGAAGCGUGCGAUUGGAUUGCACGUCUAAGCAGUAAGGCUGAGUAUUAGGCAAAUCCGGUACUCGUUAAGGCUGAGCUGUGAUGGGGAUAAGACAUUGUGUCUUCGAGUCGUUGAUUUCACACUGCCGAGAAAAGCCUCUAGAUAGAAAAUAGGUGCCCGUACCGCAAACCGACACAGGUAGUCAAGAUGAGAAUUCUAAGGUGAGCGAGCGAACUCUCGUUAAGGAACUCGGCAAAAUGACCCCGUAACUUCGGGAGAAGGGGUGCUCUUUAGGGUUAACGCCCAGAAGAGCCGCAGUGAAUAGGCCCAAGCGACUGUUUAUCAAAAACACAGGUCUCUGCUAAACCGUAAGGUGAUGUAUAGGGGCUGACGCCUGCCCGGUGCUGGAAGGUUAAGAGGAGUGGUUAGCUUCUGCGAAGCUACGAAUCGAAGCCCCAGUAAACGGCGGCCGUAACUAUAACGGUCCUAAGGUAGCGAAAUUCCUUGUCGGGUAAGUUCCGACCCGCACGAAAGGCGUAACGAUUUGGGCACUGUCUCAACGAGAGACUCGGUGAAAUCAUAGUACCUGUGAAGAUGCAGGUUACCCGCGACAGGACGGAAAGACCCCGUGGAGCUUUACUGUAGCCUGAUAUUGAAAUUCGGCACAGCUUGUACAGGAUAGGUAGGAGCCUUUGAAACGUGAGCGCUAGCUUACGUGGAGGCGCUGGUGGGAUACUACCCUAGCUGUGUUGGCUUUCUAACCCGCACCACUUAUCGUGGUGGGAGACAGUGUCAGGCGGGCAGUUUGACUGGGGCGGUCGCCUCCUAAAAGGUAACGGAGGCGCUCAAAGGUUCCCUCAGAAUGGUUGGAAAUCAUUCAUAGAGUGUAAAGGCAUAAGGGAGCUUGACUGCGAGACCUACAAGUCGAGCAGGGUCGAAAGACGGACUUAGUGAUCCGGUGGUUCCGCAUGGAAGGGCCAUCGCUCAACGGAUAAAAGCUACCCCGGGGAUAACAGGCUUAUCUCCCCCAAGAGUUCACAUCGACGGGGAGGUUUGGCACCUCGAUGUCGGCUCAUCGCAUCCUGGGGCUGUAGUCGGUCCCAAGGGUUGGGCUGUUCGCCCAUUAAAGCGGUACGCGAGCUGGGUUCAGAACGUCGUGAGACAGUUCGGUCCCUAUCCGUCGUGGGCGUAGGAAAUUUGAGAGGAGCUGUCCUUAGUACGAGAGGACCGGGAUGGACAUACCUCUGGUGUACCAGUUGUCGUGCCAACGGCAUAGCUGGGUAGCUAUGUGUGGACGGGAUAAGUGCUGAAAGCAUCUAAGCAUGAAGCCCCCCUCAAGAUGAGAUUUCCCAACUUCGGUUAUAAGAUCCCUCAAAGAUGAUGAGGUUAAUAGGUUCGAGGUGGAAGCAUGGUGACAUGUGGAGCUGACGAAUACUAAUCGAUCGAAGACUUAAUCAA
rnacentral:rRNA from 2 species